UACGGAGGGUGCAAGCGUUGUCCGGAAUCACUGGGCGUAAAGGGCGCGUAGGCGGCUCAUGAAGGCUGUGGUGAAAGUCCGGGGCUCAACCCUGGAAUGCCAGUGGAAACUGUCGAGCUAGAGUCCGGAAGAGGCGAGUGGAAUUCCUGGUGUAGCGGUGAAAUGCGCAGAUAUCAGGAGGAACACCAAUGGCGAAGGCAGCUCGCUGGGACGGUACUGACGCUGAGACGCGAAAGCGUGGGGAGCAAACAGG
rnacentral:rRNA from 1 species